rnacentral:siRNA from 1 species
CUUUGAUUAUCUUUCUUGUCGU